UAUGGGGCGCAGCAGGCGAGAAAACUUUGCAAUGUGCGAAAGCACGACAAGGUUAAUCCGAGUGAUUUCUGCUAAAGAAAUCUUUUGCCAGUCAUAAAACCACUAGUGAAUAAGGGGUGGGCAAGUUCUGGUGUCAGCCGCCGCGGUAAAACCAGCACCUCAAGUGGUCAGGAGGAUUAUUGGGCCUAAAGCAUCCGUAGCCGGCUCUGUAAGUUUUCGGUUAAAUCCAUGUGCUCAACGCAUGGGCUGUCGAAAAUACUGCAUAGCUAGGGAGUGGGAGAGGUAGACGGUACUCGGUAGGAAGGGGUAAAAUCCUUUGAUCUAUCGAUGACCACCUGUGGCGAAGGCGGUCUACCAGAACACGUUCGACGGUGAGGGAUGAAAGCUGGGGGAGCAAACCGGAUUAGAUACCCGGGUAGUCCCAGCUGUAAACGAUGCAGACUCGAUGAUGCAUUGGCAUAUAGCCAGUGCAGUGUCGCAGGGAAGCCGUUAAGUCUGCCGCCUGGGAAGUACGUACGCAAGUAUGAAACUUAAAGGAAUAGGCGGGGGAGCACCACAAGGGGUGAAGCCUGCGGUUCAAUUGGAGUCAACGCCAGAAAUCUUACCCGGAGAGACAGCAGAAUGAAGGUCAAGCUGAAGACUUUACCAGACAAGCUGAGAGGUGGUGCAUGGCCGUCGCCAGCUCGUGCCGUGAG
rnacentral:rRNA from 1 species